AUUGAACGCUGGCGGCAUGCCUAACACAUGCAAGUCGAGCGGAUAAAUGGAGCUUUCUCCUGUAUUCAGCGACGGACGGGUGAGUAAUGCCUAGGAGUCUGCCUGGUAUUGGGGGAUAACGUCCGGAAACGGGAGCUGAUACCUCAUACGUCCUGAGGUAGAAAGUGGGGGAUCUUCAGAGCUCACGCUUUCAGAUGACCCUAAGUCGGAUUAGCUAGUUGGUGGGGUAAAGGCCUACCAAGGCGACGAUCCGUAACUGCUCUGAGAGGAUGAUCAGUCACACUGGAACUGAGACACGGUCCAGACUCCUACGGGAGGCAGCAGUGGGGAAUCUUCGACAAUGGGCGAAAGCCUGAUGGAGCAAUGCCGCGUGUGUGAAGAAGGUCUUCGGAUUGUAAAGCACUUUAAGUUGGGAGGAAGGGCAGUAAGUGAAUACCUUGAUGUCUUGACGUUACCAAAAGAGUAAGCAACGGCUAACUUCGUG
rnacentral:rRNA from 1 species